rnacentral:tRNA from 1 species
GGGCGGUUAGCUCAGCUGGUUAGAGCGUUGCAUUGACAUUGCAAAGGUCGGGGGUUCGAGCCCCUCAUCGCCCA